rnacentral:ncRNA from 1 species
AAAAGGCAUUGCGGGUGCUGCAGCCUGUGGAGCAAUCACCCAUUUGGGGGACUGUCGAAGCAGGCAAGGCUGAGAGUCCUCGGACAACCGUUUGAACUUGAACAGCAUAAUUGCUGCGUAUGGAACAUGCCUUUUCCAGUAU